rnacentral:misc_RNA from 1 species
CAACCCUUAAGCUCAGCUUAGUGUUGGGAAUCUACCACGAGCGGAGUUACCCGGUACCUACCCUAUAACGGGGCCAGGUUACCCUGUAGCUACCCUGUAGUUCCUCAAAUCCAACGGCGGAGUCGUAGUCACCUCUGAGCGCAGUAAUCUUUAUCACGCUUCUGAAGGUGCUACAGCCCUAGCCGCUAAACCCCCAAUUUUUUAAU